GAGCCUGGAGUAUGUAGAGAAAACGUGUGAAUAGCUGGGACUUGGGUUGCAUUCAAGACACUAUAUUCAACAGGCCAGUGGAAGCGGCAGUAAAAGUGACACUGACAAAACAAUUCUUCACUAUAUCUGGAUUCUUGACAGGCAACAGGGCCAGCGGUGUCCAGUGUUAUCCUUUCAUCAGGGCCAUUCUCCUCUUCUUCUCAUCCCUGAGCUGCUGAUGUCCUCUGCUUUGCCCGGUCUGAUGUCAGCCAUUGGUGAAUGCUGGCCUGGAUGGGAGGAAUGCUGAGACAACCUGCACAGAUAACAUCACGAUGCAUGAAUGCACUGCAUCGUGUUUCCAGACGCAUCCCCUCUGAUCCAGACCUGAUGAAAUAUUCUUGGCAGUGAGUUAGCAUCUGUGCGAAACAGUGUGAGAAACAAAGAAGAGAAAUAGAGUAUAACAUAGAGAAAAUUAAAUUUGCAUUGAUAGGUUUUACUCCACUUUACUCCACGCAUACAUCUUCCUGACAAUAUUUGAGCUAAAAUGGUAUAAAAAAACAAAACAAAACAUUUACUCUAAUGUUCUUGACUUUAAUGUAUUUAUUUAGGUUUUUCUUUAGCCUUCUACUCAAGUUAACAUUGUACUUAGACAAAAGUUUGUUUAAUAACUUUGUUUAAUAAAAAUAUGUAAAAAGAAAGAAACACUUUAUUCUGCCACUGUAGAAGUUUCAGCUGAACAUUCUGUUGCUAUAGUAACUGGUAGUGGCAGUGUUCCAUAGCAAAUGGAGAAUAACUGGCAUUUUUACAUCCACCAUUUUGUUGACAAGCACCUUUUAACCACGCUCUUAUUGCCAUUGUUUAGAGUACUGUCACCUGUUGCUACUCCCUUUUUAUGGCAAUUUAUGACUGUUGUUACUGAUUUGAGAUAUCAAAUUAGUUAAUUAGUUAAUUAAUUUUUCAAGUGAUCAGUUUAGUGCUAAUCAAGCUAGCCAUUCUACUAGCUGCCUGAAGCUAAUGUGUUGCAGUCUAGGUAACUCCUCUUUUACGGUUGUAAUUUCGUGUUAGAUUAUGUAACUCAUUCUACUUUUACUUUUUGGACUCUGCAUGUAUGUUUACUAAAUUAAUUAAAGUACUGUACU